UACGAAGGUGGCAAGCGUUAUUCGAAAUCACUGGGCUUAAAGGGCGCGUAGGCGGCUAUGUAAGUCAGGUGUGAAAUCCCCGGGCUCAACCUGGGAACUGCAUUUGAGACUGCAUAGCUAGAGUAUGGGAGAGGAAGGCGGAAUUCCCGGUGUAGCGGUGAAAUGCGUAGAUAUCGGGAGGAACAUCAGUGGCGAAGGCGGCCUUCUGGCCCAAUACUGACGCUGAGGUACGAAAGCAUGGGGAGCAAACAGG
rnacentral:misc_RNA from 1 species